GGCCGGAUAAGGCAUUCACGCCGCAUCCGGCGCUGUUUGCCUGAUGCGACGCUUGCGCGUCUUAUCAGGCC
rnacentral:ncRNA from 1 species